rnacentral:rRNA from 1 species
UGGGGAAUCUUAGACAAUGGGGGAAACCCUGAUCUAGCCAUGCCGCGUGAGCGAUGAAGGCCUUAGGGUUGUAAAGCUCUUUCAGCUGGGAAGAUAAUGACGGUACCAGCAGAAGAAGCCCCGGCUAACUCCGUGCCAGCAGCCGCGGUAAUACGGAGGGGGCUAGCGUUGUUCGGAAUUACUGGGCGUAAAGCGCACGUAGGCGGAUUAGUCAGUCAGAGGUGAAAUCCCAGGGCUCAACCCUGGAACUGCCUUUGAUACUGCUAGUCUUGAGGUCGAGAGAGGUGAGUGGAAUUCCGAGUGUAGAGGUGAAAUUCGUAGAUAUUCGGAGGAACACCAGUGGCGAAGGCGGCUCACUGGCUCGAUACUGACGCUGAGGUGCGAAAGCGUGGGGAGCAAAACAGGAUUAGAUACCCUGGUAGUCCACGCCGUAAAACGAUGAAUGCCAGUCGUCGGGUUGCAUGCAAUUCGGUGACACACCUAACGGAUUAAGCAUUCCGCCUGGGGAGUACGGUCGCAAGAUUAAAACUCAAAUGAAUUGACGGGGUCAUAGCUGUUUCCUG